rnacentral:rRNA from 1 species
UACGUAGGGGGCUAGCGUUGUCCGGAUUUAUUGGGCGUAAAGAGCUCGUAGGCGGCUUGUUGCGUCGACUGUGAAAACCCGCGGCUUAACCGCGGGCUUGCAGUUGAUACGGGCAGGCUAGAGUUCGGUAGGGGAGACUGGAAUUCCUGGUGUAGCGGUGAAAUGCGCAGAUAUCAGGAGGAACACCGGUGGCGAAGGCGGGUCUCUGGGCCGAUACUGACGCUGAGGAGCGAAAGCGUGGGGAGCGAACAGG